rnacentral:lncRNA from 1 species
AAAGGUUUUGAUGCUAUCAGGAACUUUUGAACUGCUGCUGACCAAUAAAACUGCUGAAUUUAAUUAAUCUCCCUCCUCAUAUUUGGGACUCUGUAGCCACUUAUUUCUCUUACAGGAGCUUGUGUGUUCAACACAGUACUGAAACCAAUGUCAGCUGUCAGUGGGCUGUCUACAUUAGAGCAUCAACAUAGCUAAAGAAGAGUCAAAAGAACUCAUCUCAGCAAAGGGGCACUUACCAGUUACAUUUAAUUUGCCUUUCAUUCAUUGGCUCUGAGACCAACAUCACUGUGAGCAUGGCACCUAGCUGAAUG